GGCUUCGGUUGUAGCAAA
rnacentral:snRNA from 1 species